UUCAACUUGUCUUUAUCAGUUUUCGCAACCUGUCCGGAUCUGGACUUUGAUGAUUUCUGGAACGACUUUCUUGCUGUUUUCCAGAUCCUAACAGACGAGGACUGGAAUGCCUUGAUGUACGAUAGUGUACGUAUCAUCCAAGGGAUGGCUGGAUAAUAACGCACUUGCAUAGUCUUUUUACUUCGUCUUACUUGUUGUGCCUUCUUGUUACUUGUUAAUUAUGUUCUUCUGAACGUCUUCUUGGCUAUCGCCGUCGAUAACUUGGCGAACGCUCUGCACUUGAACGCAGAGGAAGCCGAAGAAGAAGAAGCUCGAGAAGAACGAAAAAGAAUAAUGAAUAAUCAUGGAACAGUUUCAGGACUCUAAAUUUUCUCCCAGAGAAACCGGGAUAACUAAUACGACCACCUGAAGAAGAGUUCGAAGAAAUUGUUGAAGAAGGCAAUAAAAAGCUAUUAGCCAAGAAUGUUUUGAAGAGUCUUAAGAACCUAGACAAGCUGAUCAUUGAGCACAGGAAACCUGGUAACCCUGUUCCUGAUAUCAACAUGGUCCUUGUUCCUCUUCCCACCGGG